GUAAUCGACUUUGUACUAAAAGUGCUCACUCGUACUCAAAUUUGUGUGUCGCUCUCUAAUCGAUCAUUUCAUUUCGUUUCUUCAACCAUCUUUAGGUACUAGUCUUCCUCUAUGGUUUGGUAAAUUGAGGCAAAUGGAUGGGUAAAUGAAAAAAGUGCAAUCAAAGGCGGAGAUCGAAGGCAUUGUGGCGGCGAGUAGGGCACUGGUGUUUGUGUUCUUUUGGAAGCCAUUAUGCUUACUAUCCAAGAAAAUGGAAAAAGAAUUUUGUCAUUUCUAGUUCUACACCAAAUUUCCCCAUGGCUACUUCCCACUGGUUAAUGCUGAAGAGCAACCUGAGAUCUUCCAGGCUUAUUCAAUUUCUUCUGUUCCUUACUUUGUUUACUUCCAGGUUCGGUAUUCAAUUUAUAUAUUAUGGAGAUAAUUAUGCUGUUGUUUGAUUGAUAGAAUAUGCAAAUUAUUUUAUGUGGAUUAAUAUUUUUGUUUGCAUUUCAACUGCUAGCUUAUCGGGCUGUCUUUUGAAAGUAGUAUAUAUUGGUACUACUGUUUCUGUU